UUGGUCAAUUUGUCGAAAAAAACAAAACGCCCUUAAUUUUCUCGGGAAACUGAAAACAUCGAUUCCGUUUUCUUCUUUCCAAUCGGCAUUUUGAAUUAGGUUUUAUUUCAGUUCAACCAAAUACUAAUUCGAAGACGAAGCCUUUGGUCAAUUGCUAAACCCUAAUUCCUUAGUUUGAAUUCCUGACGACUUUCGUGCUUUCACGGAUUCCAAAAUUAACUUUAUUGGAUUUGGAUCAGCGAGAGAUAAUGCUGUACUCACAUACUUGUUACUAAUUAAUGGAUCCUGAUAACAAGAGAUUUGGAAGAGGGCCCAGAGAACUUACAGGUGCUGUGGAUCUUAUUAGUCACUUCAAAUUGUUGCCUCAUCAAGAGUUCUUCUGCAAGAGGUCACUUCCAUUGUCUAUUUCAGAUACCCAUUAUCUUCACAAUGUGGUGGGUGACACAGAAAUUAGGAAAGGGGAAGGGAUGCAAUUGGAUCAGCUUAUACAGGAUACUUCCUUGUCAAGAGAGACGAUCCAGCCAUUUGACCUAGAUGUUCUUGGUGAAGCUUUUCGACUACGUGAAGCGGCUCCAGUGGAUCUGCCUCCUUCUGAGAAAGGCAUCCCUACUGUAGCUGGAAAAUCCAAAAGUGAGUCGAAAGACAAGGAAAAGAAGCAUAAAAAGCACAAAGAUAAGGACAAGGAGAAGGACAAAGAGCAUAAGAAGCACAAACAUCGUCAUAAAGAUCGAAGUAAAGACAAGGAUAAAGACAAAAAGAGAGACAAAAGUGUUCAUCAUGAUUCUGGUGCUGAUCUUUCGAGGAAACAUCACGAGAAGGACUUCAGCCAGAGGCAACAAUGGUACUUCACAGUACUGAAAGUGUUGACUGAUUAUGAUAUUUUCAUUGAUCCCAGAAAAGGAAGCAUGAUGGAGAGGAGGAAUUUAAUGAUGUUCACAAACACAAGAGAAGCAAGCACAAGAGCUCAAAGAUUGAUGAUAUUGGUGCAAUAAAGGUAGCAAGCUGAAAUAUGUGUGUGGUUAUAUCAUUUGUUUUAUCCUCGGACUUUGCAAUUGAGAAUUUGGAGGGAUCCUUUACUUAGUAUUGUGGAAAAUCAGAGGUGGGUGAGAAAGUGGAAACUGGAUGCUUGUGAAGGAAUUGCAUGAGCAGAUUGCUAACUUUUUUGCUCAAGCACCCUUCUCUUAAUUUUUUAUUAAUUAUGUAGAGGGAAAGGGGAUUACAAGGUGGGGAAUCGAACCCCCACCAACAAGGCUGAAGUUUAAGUAGCCAACCAACAGGGGCGAGGAUGGGUUCACAUACCUGGGUGCAUAAAAAUAUCAAUUUGAAUGUCCAAAUUCAUUGUUAUUGUAGAAAGGCUAAACAAGACACAAUUAGAAGAGUACUUCAGCAUAUGAUAUUGAACAAUGCGCUUCCAACAAAAGAUGCACUUAUGUUGUCAGAUGCCCCUGAAGGGACUCCAAAACUGCACAUUUUGGCUUAAGAUAAGCAGCUACCUGUUCAGUUUCUGAAAUUUUGUAUUUAAGGUGUUGUAGAAAGGUUAAACAAGACAUAGCUUGGACAGUGCUUCGACAUGUGAAUAGUAAAUGGUUGGAUUUGAUAAAGCAGUUCUGUGUUCAGUCUCUGCACCAUUCUGAAUUCACUUUUAACAGGUAUCCACAGUGAACAUCUGUGUAUCUAAUCCUAGUGAUAUUAAAAGUUAUUUCUCUAUCUGCAAAA